rnacentral:lncRNA from 1 species
CACGCAGGAAGGACAGGACCACAGGGGCCCGGGCGCGAUUCCCGGAGUGGCCCCCCCCCACUCCCUGCAGGUGAAGUUUCCACGCGUCCCGGGGGGCCCAGCGGCAGCUGUCUGAAGACCCCCCACUCGUGGGAGGCAGUAGACAAAAGGCGAGGUUCCGGGUGGGGGCAGGAGAGGAGGGGAGAACGUUAAGCCAGUAAAAACCUCUUUUACAUGUGCGGCUGUGAAACUUUUAUAUAGAGAUUUCUCAACACAAGACAUGAAUAGUAACCGUGCUUUCUUUUCAGUAACUGCCAAAGCCUCAGCCCCCGUGACGCCCUCUGCAAGCUGGGCGAUCCCCGGGCGCCCCGCCCCGGGCAGGAGGUCCCCGGGGAAGGAGCUCACCCCUCCCUCUCAUCCCACGAAUCAGACGACUUCCUUAGCGGUUCUGGGAGGUCGGCUCACUGUUAAAAGCAAGCAAGCUGUAGUGUCUGCUUCCGUUCCUACACCCGUUGGCAUUUUGAGCCCUCGAUGUCACAGGCUGGCUCUGUGCCCUGGCAGCCCGUCACACAGAGUCCCCAGCCCCGCCCCAUCCAUGGCAAAGGCUCUCCGGAGACAAGGAAUGGUCAGCUCGGCUGAAGGCAGAGCCGGAGGCACAUCCUCUCUCCCUUGCUUCGCCUUAUUUCUAUUCCGCGCAGCCCCCAACUGCAGCAGGGUCGUCUGUGCAGGCCCCUGGGGAGCAGCGGCACUGGGUGCGUGGAGACCCAUCGGCUCCAUGGCUGGUCCUUCCAGAACACACGGCCCUCUCAGCAGACGGGACCCUAAACAGGACCGGUCCAUUAGGAAGACACUGAGGGCUAUAGAGCAGGAGCCUUGAAUGCAUCCACACCUUCCCAUCAGUCUUCCCUACCUCACGCGGCAGACCUGGGCCCGCACAGAGCCCCAGCCCAGCCCCCGCCGUUACCUGGUGAGUUUGCAAAUGGCGGCCGGUCCCCAUGUGCUCUGACC